AUUGAACGCUGGCGGCAGGCCUAACACAUGCAAGUCGGACGGUAGCACAGGGGAGCUUGCUCCUCGGGUGACGAGUGGCGGACGGGUGAGAAUGUCUGGGGAUCUGCCCGAUAGAGGGGGAUAACCACUGGAAACGGUGGCUAAUACCGCAUAAUGUCGCAAGACCAAAGAGGGGGACCUUCGGGCCUCUCACUAUCGGAUGAACCCAGAUGGGAUUAGCUAGUAGGCGGGGUAACGGCCCACCUAGGCGACGAUCCCUAGCUGGUCUGAGAGGAUGACCAGCCACACGGGAACGGAGACACGGUACAGAUUCCUACGGGAGGCAGCAGUGGGGAAUAUUGCACAAUGGGCGCAAGCCUGAUGCAGCCAUGCCGCGUGUAUGAAGAAGGCCUUCGGGUUGUAAAGUACUUUCAGCGGGGAGGAAGGCGAUGUGGUUAAUAACCGCGUCGAUUGACGUUACCCGCAGAAGAAGCACCGGCUAACUCCGUGCCAGCCGCCGCCGUAA
rnacentral:rRNA from 1 species